AUUAUACAUCAGACCUUACACGAAAUUUUCACAACUUCUAACCUGUAUCCACUGGGCCCCCCCCACUGGUCUAUGGGCCCCCCAUAAAUGCUUGGCCCUAUGAAUUUGUCAUGUUUACCCCCCUCUUAAUGACAAACACAGACAAGGUA